AGGGAUUCUUUGCAUGAAAAAAAUACUUCCUCCUUCAUCACUUUUGGAAGUUCUUGUUGCUUGAUGGCUCAAAAUCUUUUUUGCAGUUGAGAAAGAAGAGCAGCCUCUGCCAUACCUUUUGUACUUACAAGGUGGGCCGGGAUUUGAGUUCCCACGACCAACUGAAGUUGGCGGAUGGAUACAGAAAAGCAUGUGAAGAAUUCCGUGUUGUAUUGAUGGAUCAGGCAUGGCUUAACUGACAUUUCCUUAGCACGAGGAUUUAUUGAAAAUUUACUUCAUCUUUUCUUUUCUUUUGCUCCAGCUGAUGUAUUUUUCUUUCAGCGAGGAAGAGGCUUAUCAACUCUACUUUAAUGGCAUCCUCUGUCUUGUAAUUUAAGUUUGCAAAGGAUUUGACUAAGUACUUAGCUCAUUUUUGAGCUGACAAUAUAGUGAAUGAUGCUGAGUUUGUUAGAUUCCGACUUAUUCCUGAUGCUGGGCCUUGGACAGUUUGGAUCAAUGGUGGUUUUUGUUCUGUUUCGUAUUUGAGUUUCGUGCACAAGGACCAAAACAAGUACUUUGGACUGGAGAAGUUCCUCCAAUAGGUAAUGGGUGCACCACAGAUUCUGUGUAUCAAGCAGGUUUUGAGCUUUUUUUUUGCCAAAAUGAAAACUACUGCAAGAGAUUUCCUCAGGAUAUUGAAAUUGUUCGUGAAAUUAUACAAUAUCUAGCAGAAUUAGAAGGAGGUAACUCUUCCAUCCGGGGGCAUCUUGACUCCAAGAGGACUGCAAGGGUCAUGGAUUGUACAACUACAUGUUUGAGAGCGUCUGGGGAUCCUAUACUUGUUCCAGGAGCACCAAGAAGGAUCAGUCACUACUUCCUUAACGCAGUAAGAUAGCUACACCUUCCUUUUCAACCAUGAGGCUAGGGGCUAUAAAUUGCAUUCUCAUCUUUGACCUUGUAGUAUUUACUGUUUGCAGUUUGAGAAUUGGAAUUCUUUUCGUACAAAUCCUCUCCAUACCCUUAUCCAUGA